GUCUUUGUAUUGUCACUUCAGGGUCAUUGUCAUUUGAGUUCUCUUUGCACCUUGUUCUGGUUUUCCAGUGUGUGGGUUCUGUUGUUGUUGUCUUCGUCGUCGUUUUGUGUAUUUUUUUUUUUCAAAUUUGCUUUCCCUUUACCCUGAUUUUUUCCUGGGAAAAUGACCCGAAGCCCGUGUUUUAGGCAAGCAAGAUCUAUGAUAGUACUUUUCCAUGCCUCCUUCAGAGCUGUGUCUGAUUAGCCUGACUCAGACCAGGCCUUUCAAGUCACAGUAUGUUUCGUAAGGAGUUGUCAACCAGGCAGGACACAAAGUCAUUCAGUCCAAAUGCAGAAUGAGGGAUCAACAAAUAGUCCAAAACCAAGUGUCUAAAGGCACUAUGGGCCUUCUGUGAAAAGGGAGAAAAAAAGCAAGCAAGCCUCCAUCCCUGGGAAGAAAGAUUUCCUGGCCAGGGACUAAAGCCUUCUUAUCCCUCAAUAAAACAACCAUAGUAAUUGCCCAGAAAUGCCAGUUACAGCCAGCCCAGUGGUGUGGCAGAUAAGGUCCCAAGAAGAAGCUGAUUAGAAAUUGUAAGCAUUGUUUAACUUGAUACUGUAUUUCAAAACACAGCCCUUGUUUUGCUUGGUUGGUUCUUUGUUUUGCUGUCCUGAUAGCAAAGUCAGUGCCUUGCGCAUGCUAAGCAAACAAACACUCUGCUGCUUUGCUUCAAACCUUUGUACUUUUAAAUUUAGAGACAGAGCCUUGCUCAUUUUGAUAGGCAGGUCCUCACCGCGUGACCUUCUGCUUUAGCCUCCCAGACAUCUGGGCGAUGGGCACAGACCACCGAGCCUGGAUGCCUAUUUUUCUUUUUAAUGUAUAUAAAAUUUGUGUUCAUAAGAAUGGGAUUGAAUAUCUUUAUCUAUUUUCUUUGUCCCUUCUUUAGAAGGAAACUGCUACUUUGUACUGGAGGGCAUGGGUAUAAUAAAGGGAUUAAUGUAUGCAAAAUAUUUGAAAGUACAGGUUAAUAUUACGGCUACAAACCUGGUUAGUUGUUUAAGCAGUACACAUAAAACCCAGGAAAUUUGUGCUAGGCAAGGCCGGGGCACAAAGGGCCCAUGCUUAGCCUGGCAGUCACUGCAGUGUGACCCAAGGUGCACUUCUCAACCCUUCCCUGGACUUCUGCUCUCAUGAAUUAAUGUUUGAAUAACAGUCAGUUAUAUCUCUAAUAGUUUUUAUUCUACACAGAAAAUACAUAUUUUAAAAGUAGGCUGCUUCAUUUUGAAUGUGCAGGUGUUUGUAAGGAAUCAACCCAGGAGAAAUAAAACUGGCCAGGACUAGAGAGUCCCCAUACUGACAGAUGGGUAUUACAUGUUUUAGCCUUCCUGCUUUUCCCAUAAUGUAAAUCU
rnacentral:lncRNA from 1 species